AGCGAACGUUUGCGGCGGGCCUAACACAUGCAAGUCGAACGCACUAGCAAUAGUGAGUGGCGCACGGGUGCGUAACACGUGGGUAAUCAACCCUUCAGCCUGGGAUAACGACUCGAAAGGGUCGCUAAUACCGGAUACGGCGCGAGAGGCUUCGGCUUCUCACGAGAAAGCCACGCAAGGGGCACUGAAGGACGAGCCUGCGGCCCAUCAGCUAGUUGGUGAGGUAAGAGCUCACCAAGGCUAAGACGGGUAGCUGGUCUGAGAGGAUGAUCAGCCACACUGGAACUGAGACACGGUCCAGACUCCUACGGGAGGCAGCAGUGGGGAAUAUUGCGCAAUGGGCGAAAGCCUGACGCAGCCACGCCGCGUGAGCGAUGAAGGCCUUCGGGUCGUAAGACUCUGUGGGGAGGAGACGAAGAAGACCUGUGAAGAGCAGGCCGUUGACGGUAUCUCCUUAGCAAGCACCGGC
rnacentral:rRNA from 1 species